GAACUGAAGAGUUUGAUCCUGGCUCAGAUUGAACGCUGGCGGUAUGCUUAACACAUGCAAGUCGAACGGCAGCACGAGGAGAGUUUACUCUCUUCGGUGGCGAGUGGCGGACGGGUGAGUAAUGCAUAGGAAUCUACCUUUUAGUCUAGGAUAACUACCCGAAAGGGUGGCUAAUACUGGAUGUGGACUACGGUUUAAAGCAGGGGACCUUCGGGCCUUGCGCUAAGAGAUGAGCCUAUGUGGGAUUAGCUAGUUGGUGAGGUAACGGCUCACCAAGGCGACGAUCUCUAGCUGGUUUGAGAGGAUGAUCAGCCACACUGGGACUGAGACACGGCCCAGACUCCUACGGGAGGCAGCAGUGGGGAAUAUUGCACAAUGGGCGAAAGCCUGAUCCAGCAAUACCGCGUGUGUGAAGAAGGCCCUAGGGUUGUAAAGCACUUUUGUUAGGGAGAACGGGUUUUGUAAUUAAUACCUACAGAAUCUGAUGUUACCUAAAGAAUAAGCACCGGCUAACUCCGUGCCAGCAGCCGCGGUAAUACGGAGGGUGAAAGCGUUAAUCGGAAUUACUGGGCGUAAAGGG
rnacentral:rRNA from 1 species